rnacentral:rRNA from 1 species
UCUUCCACAAUGGACGAAAGUCUGAUGGAGCAACGCCGCGUGAGUGAAGAAGGGUUUCGCUCGUAAAGCUCUGUUGGUAGUGAAGAAAGAUAGAGGUAGUAACUGGCCUUUAUUUGACGGUAAUUACUUAGAAAGUCACGGCUAACUACGUGCC